GAGGCUGCUCACACCCUGUGCAGAAGUCAGUCCCCAACAGGACACAGCAUGGACAUGAGGGCUCCUGUUCAGCUCCUGGGGCUCCUGCUGCUCUGCCUCCCAGGUGCCAGAUGUGACAUCACGAUGACCCAGUCUCCAUCCUCCCUAUCUGCAUCUCCAGGAGACAGAGUCACCAUCACCUGCAGGGCCAGUCAGAAUAUUAACAGUUGGUUAGCUUGGUAUCAACAGAAGCCAGGGCAAGCUCCUAAGCUCCUGAUA